rnacentral:rRNA from 1 species
CUACGUGCCAGCAGCCGCGGUAAUACGUAGGUGGCAAGCGUUGUCCGGAAUUAUUGGGCGUAAAGCGCACGCAGGCGGAUUGGUCAGUCUGUCUUAAAAGUUCGGGGCUUAACCCCGUGAUGGGAUGGAAACUGCCAAUCUAGAGUAUCGGAGAGGAAAGUGGAAUUCCUAGUGUAGCGGUGAAAUGCGUAGAUAUUAGGAAGAACACCAGUGGCGAAGGCGACUUUCUGGACGAAAACUGACGCUGAGGCGCGAAAGCCAGGGGAGCGAACGGGAUUAGAUACCCCGGUAGUCCUGGCCGUAAACGAUGGGUACUAGGUGUAGGAGGUAUCGACCCCUUCUGUGCCGGAGUUAACGCAAUAAGUACCCCGCCUGGGGAGUACGACCGCAAGGUUGAAACUCAAAGGAAUUGACGGGGGCCCGCACAAGCGGUGGAGUAUGUGGUUUAAUUCGACGCAACGCGAAGAACCUUACCAGGUCUUGACAU